UUAAGCGACUAAGCGUACACGGUGGAUGCCCUGGCAGUCAGAGGCGAUGAAGGACGUGCUAAUCUGCGAUAAGCGUCGGUAAGGUGAUAUGAACCGUUAUAACCGGCGAUUUCCGAAUGGGGAAACCCAGUGUGUUUCGACACACUAUCAUUAACUGAAUCCAUAGGUUAAUGAGGCGAACCGGGGGAACUGAAACAUCUAAGUACCCCGAGGAAAAGAAAUCAACCGAGAUUCCCCCAGUAGCGGCGAGCGAACGGGGAGCAGCCCAGAGCCUGAAUCAGUGUGUGUGUUAGUGGAAGCGUCUGGAAAGGCGCGCGAUACAGGGUGACAGCCCCGUACACAAAAAUGCACAUGCUGUGAGCUCGAUGAGUAGGGCGGGACACGUGGUAUCCUGUCUGAAUAUGGGGGGACCAUCCUCCAAGGCUAAAUACUCCUGACUGACCGAUAGUGAACCAGUACCGUGAGGGAAAGGCGAAAAGAACCCCGGCGAGGGGAGUGAAAAAGAACCUGAAACCGUGUACGUACAAGCAGUGGGAGCACGCUUAGGCGUGUGACUGCGUACCUUUUGUAUAAUGGGUCAGCGACUUAUAUUCUGUAGCAAGGUUAACCGAAUAGGGGAGCCGAAGGGAAACCGAGUCUUAACUGGGCGUUAAGUUGCAGGGUAUAGACCCGAAACCCGGUGAUCUAGCCAUGGGCAGGUUGAAGGUUGGGUAACACUAACUGGAGGACCGAACCGACUAAUGUUGAAAAAUUAGCGGAUGACUUGUGGCUGGGGGUGAAAGGCCAAUCAAACCGGGAGAUAGCUGGUUCUCCCCGAAAGCUAUUUAGGUAGCGCCUCGUGAAUUCAUCUCCGGGGGUAGAGCACUGUUUCGGCAAGGGGGUCAUCCCGACUUACCAACCCGAUGCAAACUGCGAAUACCGGAGAAUGUUAUCACGGGAGACACACGGCGGGUGCUAACGUCCGUCGUGAAGAGGGAAACAACCCAGACCGCCAGCUAAGGUCCCAAAGUCAUGGUUAAGUGGGAAACGAUGUGGGAAGGCCCAGACAGCCAGGAUGUUGGCUUAGAAGCAGCCAUCAUUUAAAGAAAGCGUAAUAGCUCACUGGUCGAGUCGGCCUGCGCGGAAGAUGUAACGGGGCUAAACCAUGCACCGAAGCUGCGGCAGCGACGCUGAUGCGUUGUUGGGUAGGGGAGCGUUCUGUAAGCCUGCGAAGGUGUGCUGUGAGGCAUGCUGGAGGUAUCAGAAGUGCGAAUGCUGACAUAAGUAACGAUAAAGCGGGUGAAAAGCCCGCUCGCCGGAAGACCAAGGGUUCCUGUCCAACGUUAAUCGGGGCAGGGUGAGUCGACCCCUAAGGCGAGGCCGAAAGGCGUAGUCGAUGGGAAACAGGUUAAUAUUCCUGUACUUGGUGUUACUGCGAAGGGGGGACGGAGAAGGCUAUGUUGGCCGGGCGACGGUUGUCCCGGUUUAAGCGUGUAGGCUGGUUUUCCAGGCAAAUCCGGAAAAUCAAGGCUGAGGCGUGAUGACGAGGCACUACGGUGCUGAAGCAACAAAUGCCCUGCUUCCAGGAAAAGCCUCUAAGCAUCAGGUAACAUCAAAUCGU
rnacentral:rRNA from 1 species